rnacentral:rRNA from 1 species
AGAGUUUGAUCCUGGCUCAGGACGAACGCUGGCGGCGCGCCUAACACAUGCAAGUCGAACGAGCAAAGAGGAGCUUGCUUCUCUGAGCGAGUGGCGAACGGGUGAGUAACGCGUGAGGAACCUGCCUCAAAGAGGGGGACAACAGUUGGAAACGACUGCUAAUACCGCAUAAGCCCACGGGUCGGCAUCGACCAGAGGGAAAAGGAGCAAUCCGCUUUGAGAUGGCCUCGCGUCCGAUUAGCUAGUUGGUGAGGUAACGGCCCACCAAGGCGACGAUCGGUAGCCGGACUGAGAGGUUGAACGGCCACAUUGGGACUGAGACACGGCCCAGACUCCUACGGGAGGCAGCAGUGGGGAAUAUUGCACAAUGGGGGAAACCCUGAUGCAGCGACGCCGCGUGGAGGAAGAAGGUCUUCGGAUUGUAAACUCCUGUUGUUGAGGAAGAUAAUGACGGUACUCAACAAGGAAGUGACGGCUAACUACGUGCCAGCAGCCGCGGUAAAACGUAGGUCACAAGCGUUGUCCGGAAUUACUGGGUGUAAAGGGAGCGCAGGCGGGAAGACAAGUUGGAAGUGAAAUCCAUGGGCUCAACCCAUGAACUGCUUUCAAAACUGUUUUUCUUGAGUAGUGCAGAGGUAGGCGGAAUUCCCGGUGUAGCGGUGGAAUGCGUAGAUAUCGGGAGGAACACCAGUGGCGAAGGCGGCCUACUGGGCACCAACUGACGCUGAGGCUCGAAAGUGUGGGUAGCAAACAGGAUUAGAUACCCUGGUAGUCCACACCGUAAACGAUGAUUACUAGGUGUUGGAGGAUUGACCCCUUCAGUGCCGCAGUUAACACAAUAAGUAAUCCACCUGGGGAGUACGACCGCAAGGU